AACGCGAAGAACCUUACCAGGGCUUGACAUGCACGGUGCAGCGCGAGAGAUCGCGUGUCCUUUGGGGUCGUGUACAGGUGGUGCAUGGUUGUCGUCAGCUCGUGUCGUGAGAUGUUGGGUUAAGUCCCGCAACGAGCGCAACCCUCGUCCUGUAUUGCCAGCAACAUCCUUCGGGGUGGUUGGGGACUUGCGGGAGACUGCCGGGGUCAACUCGGAGGAAGGUGGGGACGACGUCAAAUCAUCAUGCCCCUUAUGUCCUGGGCUGCACGCAUGCUACAAUGGCCGGUACAGAGGGCUGCGAUACCGUGAGGUGGGGCGAAUCCCUUAAAGCCGGUCUCAGUUCGGAUCGGGGUCUGCAACUCGACCCCGUGAAGUCGGAGUCGCUAGUAAUCGCAGAUCAGCAACGCUGCGGUGAAUACGUUCCCGGGCCUUGUA
rnacentral:rRNA from 1 species